UCCCCACAGGAUGUUACGUAAAAUGCUAGCCUCUGGUCUUGCUAACAGCACUUGAAGCUUACAGACAGACACCUGCUCACCUCAGAAGUACAUGUGAUAGAUUUGAUAGGAGCAAACAACAGUGAGCCAAAGACGCUCCGGUUCCAGGAAUCAGACACAACCGGUUGGAAUCCUGGGCCCAGCUCUCCCUACCUGAACUUAGGUUGGGUGCACUUUACAACUCUUCGGAUACGUUGACUCUUCCACUCACUAAGCAAGCCUGUUGGUACCCACCAUGGAGUCUCACUAGUGACAGAACCUCAGACGGUGACUCAUACAUGCACAAAAUAUAUUCUACCCCAGCACCUAUAUGCUCUGGGGUCUGAGCCUUGUCUGAAAACCUGGAAAUAAUCGUGACAUUUGAGGAAGCUUAAAGAUCGCCAUUGAUCUUUGUUAAGGAAGAAAGCUUUAAGCAUCCAUCCUUCCUGCUGAGCUGCAAGGAUCUGGUGGCAGUUAAGUGAUUGCUACAGUUGGCCCCCCUGGCCACCCUUCCCCUGCAAAGCGCCAGCUGAGGUUGAAGGAGAUUCAUCAUUUGCUACUUCCUCAGCCUACAUCAAACCCUAUUCAGGCCCUUUUCUGCCUAAUGAGGCCCGCAGAGCCACCAGCUGCCGCUGCUUAUCCUUGAAUCAACCAAAGUAGCAGCAGGUAGCACCCAUCUGCCACAAAUUUGGGAUUGCUAAGAAAUUGUUGAAAUGACAGCCCUUGCUGCUCUUCAGAAGACCAGAAUCCAGCUCAAAGGCCUCACAUCAGGUGGGUGGGAACCACCUGCAUCUCAGCCUCCAGGGACCUGGCACCCUCGUCUGCUGCUGAGGGAACUGCAGUACGUGGACUCAUCCACACACAAAUAUAGUUGUAUACCCACAGUAUUAAAAAUGAGAAAAGCUCCAUGAGCUGCUUCUGACACAAUUCUCCAGAUAACUGUUUUAGAACCAUGUUCUUGCUCUAGCCCAAAGGAAUUAACUCAAGCCACUAGCAUCUCAGAAGUAUGAUGUCCAAUCGGCUGGAAGAUGGAAAACCACAGAGUGGAGAAACAACUGUCGGUUGAACAUCACACUAUGAACAGGAAACUCAGAACAGCCUUGCGCGUGAUUUCAGCCGUGAUAGGGAGGGGCUCCGAGGAAAAGACUGAUCUGGCACUGUAAUGUUUUGACUCAUGAAGUUUUAUAAAAACAGCUCUUUCUAAAUCAAGUUCAGGCAGGCUCAGGGCACGACUUUCUA